GUUUCUGUAGUGUAGUUAUCAUCACGUUUGCCUAACACGCAAAAUGUCCCUGGUUCUAGACUGGGCAGAAACA